GAAAUGCCACUUUUUAAAACCCAACAAAAAUAUUUACAAAGCAUACAAAAUAUAUGUAAAAACUACUAAUCGUAGUUGUUUGUAGAAAGCAAAACGUGGGGAACAAUUUACCUGUCCCUAUAUCGGAAGGCGAUUGUAUGGUAUUGUGCCUGGCAGAAUUCUAAGGUGAAGCUGCAGUGACCCUGCCCUUGAGUGUGGGUGAGACUUGGAGUGGGAUGGAUUCUAUUCCCCUGAUUAGGUUGUCAGAUGGCGCAGCUGACCUUCCGAAAGAGAGGUUAUCCUGAGUGGCCCUGACCUAAGCAGGUGACUCCUCAAAAGGAUUCAGCUCUUCCUAGAAGAAGUGUGAAGCUUGAGGUAUAUUUGUUACUGGCUUUGAAGAUGGAGGGAAUCACCCGGUAAGGAAUGAAGGAAACCUCUAGGAGCUGAGCGGCCCCAGUCGACCGCCAGCAAGGAAGCGAACUUCAGUCCUGAAGCUGCAAGGAAGUGGAUUCUGCCACAGUUUGAAAGAGGUUGGAAGAGGACCCCAAGUCUCAGAUGGGGGGGCAGCCCUGGGAGACCCUGAGCAGAGGAGCAGCCACACUGUGCGAGACUCCUGAACACAAAAACCGUGAGUUUUUUAAAAAAUAGGUGUUUACUGAAGUAAGCAAGGAUUUGCGGCUGUUUGGAGCCGGAGUGGCAGAUGGAGCCAACUUGGAGACUUCUGGGGCAGAAGUAUGAGUUACAACCCAGAGGCUGCUGCAUGAUGCCCAGACAUCACACAGACCACCUCCACGCUCGGAGAGCCGAGGAGCUCUCAGAGUAGACAUGCUAUUGCCUUCGAGCAUGGAAGACAAGGAUUCCUGCCACCUCCCACUUUGGACUACACUGGAAAGCUGGAUGGCCAUCAGAAUUUGCCAUCAGUGGACUAAAUGAACAAGCUGGUUACCUCAGUGGAAAUUCCACAAGGAGAUAAAUCCCUUCCUACAACAUCAAUAUUUCAACGGAAUGCUUCCUGGCAUGGAAGUCUCUAAGUAAGCCCCAGUGGCUAGGCCCAAAUUCAAGGAAAGCCCAAAUCUGCAAACUGGAAAAAUGGAAUGGAGAAUGUAAAUACUAUAAAGAGAUGACAUCUGAAACAAUUUCAAAAUAAGAGGCAAUGACUUCUUCAAGUCUUAACUUGAGUCCUUGAGAGUUGAGCUAUUCAAUGAAUUAUAUAUAAAAGCAGUCCCCAGGAAUACAACCUCCUCCAUGUACUGCUUAGAGCAGCCCAGUAUUCACAGAUGCAUUCAUGCGGCUCAGCAUACCUGUGAAGUAGGACCGUCAUUCCCAUUUUACUAAUUAGGAACAGGCUGAGGUAAAUUAGGAAAUUUACUUAAGGUGCCUUAGCAAGAGUUAUCAGUGAGAAGACCUGAACUCCCAAACCUGUGCUUGACACCACACCACCAUUCCCUUCUAGAACUUGCCUCCCUUGGCUCUCAGGUCUUUGAUCUUUUUAAGAUCUUCUAUCUAACCAAGCCCUAGCCUUCUCCUUUAAAUGCUCCCUCUCAAAACAGAGCUCUUUCAUGUGUCAAAGUUUCAACCACAAAGACAAUCACAAAUUACUUGACUUUAACUCCUCUCUCUCAAUCCAAAGGCCAAAUGCAGUAACACAUUAUCUUCCCACAGAAUGUCAGAAGGCUCUUAAAAUAGCAAGACUAGCCACUUUUCUAUUAAAGUUUUCUUAUCGCCUGAACCAUGCGGUAAGUAUCAGAGUGUCACCGUAAGAGUGGCUUUAACUAUAAGGAAGCAAAAGCUUGCCUGGAAAAUUCUCUGAACCCUUUCCUUCCUUCCCAGGUUAGCGGCAACAGAGCAGCAGACCACAUGCAGUGGAAAGCAGCACCAGACCAGGCUGAGCCUGGCUAGGCUUA